rnacentral:rRNA from 1 species
AACGAACGCUGGCGGCAUGCCUAACACAUGCAAGUCGAACGAGACCUUCGGGUCUAGUGGCGCACGGGUGCGUAACGCGUGGGAACCUGCCCUUAGGUUCGGAAUAACUCCCCGAAAGGGGUGCUAAUACCGGAUAAUGUCUUCGGACCAAAGAUUUAUCGCCUUUGGAUGGGCCCGCGUUGGAUUAGCUAGUUGGUAGGGUAAAAGCCUACCAAGGCGACGAUCCAUAGCUGGUCUGAGAGGAUGAUCAGUCACACUGGGACUGAGACACGGCCCAGACUCCUACGGGAGGCAGCAGUGGGGAAUAUUGGACAAUGGGCGAAAGCCUGAUCCAGCAAUGCCGCGUGAGUGAUGAAGGCCUUAGGGUUGUAAAGCUCUUUUACCCGGGAUGAUAAUGACAGUACCGGGAGAAUAAGCUCCGGCCAACUCCGUG